rnacentral:rRNA from 1 species
AAAUUGAAGAGUUUGAUCAUGGCUCAGAUUGAACGCUGGCGGCAGGCCUAACACAUGCAAGUCGAACGGUAACAGGAAGCAGCUUGCUGCUUUGCUGACGAGUGGCGGACGGGUGAGUAAUGUCUGGGAAACUGCCUGAUGGAGGGGGAUAACUACUGGAAACGGUGGCUAAUACCGCAUAACGUCGCAAGACCAAAGAGGGGGACCUUCGGGCCUCUUGCCAUCAGAUGUGCCCAGAUGGGAUUAGCUUGUUGGUGAGGUAACGGCUCACCAAGGCGACGAUCCCUAGCUGGUCUGAGAGGAUGACCAGCCACACUGGAACUGAGACACGGUCCAGACUCCUACGGGAGGCAGCAGUGGGGAAUAUUGCACAAUGGGCGCAAGCCUGAUGCAGCCAUGCCGCGUGUAUGAAGAAGGCCUUCGGGUUGUAAAGUACUUUCAGCGGGGAGGAAGGUGUUGUGGUUAAUAACCGCAGCAAUUGACGUUACCCGCAGAAGAAGCACCGGCUAACUCCGUGCCAGCAGCCGCGGUAAUACGGAGGGUGCAAGCGUUAAUCGGAAUUACUGGGCGUAAAGCGCACGCAGGCGGUCUGUCAAGUCGGAUGUGAAAUCCCCGGGCUCAACCUGGGAACUGCAUUCGAAACUGGCAGGCUUGAGUCUUGUAGAGGGGGGUAGAAUUCCAGGUGUAGCGGUGAAAUGCGUAGAGAUCUGGAGGAAUACCGGUGGCGAAGGCGGCCCCCUGGACAAAGACUGACGCUCAG